rnacentral:rRNA from 1 species
ACCGGCAGCCAUAUCACCCUGUAGCCCAAGACUGGUUGCCCACUGAAGCUAAGCAGGGCUGAGCCUGAUCAGUACCUGGAUGGGAGACCUCCUGGGAAAACUAGGUUGCUGCUGGAA